rnacentral:rRNA from 1 species
UACGAAGGGGGCGAGCGUUGUUCGGAUUUACUGGGCGUAAAGGGCGCGCAGGCGGCUAGUUUUGUCGAGUGUGAAAGCCCCGGGCUUAACCUGGGAACUGCGCUCGAAACGGGCUGGCUAGAGAUCGGGAGAGGAGAGUGGAAUUCCCAGUGUAGAGGUGAAAUUCGUAGAUAUCGAGAGGAACACCGGUGGCGAAGGCGGCGAUCUGGACGAUGACUGACGCUGAGACGCGAAAGCGUGGGGAGCAAACAGG